GCCCCCGUAGUUCAACGGAUCAGAACCGCGGACUUCUAAGCCGCUGAUGGGGGUUCGAUUCCCUCCGGGGGCG
rnacentral:tRNA from 1 species